GACGAACGCUGGCGGCGUGCUUAACACAUGCAAGUCGAACGGAAAGGCCCUGCUUUUGUGGGGUGCUCGAGUGGCGAACGGGUGAGUAACACGUGAGUAACCUGCCCUUGACUUUGGGAUAACUUCAGGAAACUGGGGCUAAUACCGGAUAGGAGCUCCUGCUGCAUGGUGGGGGUUGGAAAGUUUCGGCGGUUGGGGAUGGACUCGCGGCUUAUCAGCUUGUUGGUGGGGUAGUGGCUUACCAAGGCUGUGACGGGUAGCCGGCCUGAGAGGGUGACCGGGCACAUUGGGACUGCGAUAGGGCCCAGACUCCUACGGGAGGCAGCAGUGGGGAAUAUGGCAGAAUGGGCGGAAGCCAGAUGCAGCAACGCCGCGUGCGGGAUGACGGCCUUCGGGUUGUAAACCGCUUUCGCCGUUGACGAAGCGUGAGUGACGGUAAUGGGUAAAGAAGCACCGGCUAACUACGUG
rnacentral:rRNA from 1 species